GACGAACGCUGGCGGCGUGCUUAACACAUGCAAGUCGAACGGAAAGGCCCUGCCUUUGUGGGGUGCUCGAGGGGCGAACGGGUGAGUAACCCGUGAGUAACCUGCCCUUGACCUAGGGAUAACCUAAGGAAACAGGGGCUAAUACCGGCUAGGAGCUACUGCCGCUUGGUGGGGGUUGGAAAGUUUCGGCGGUUGGGGAUGGAAAGGCCGCUCAUCAGCUCGUUGGUGGGGUAGUGGCUUACCAAGGUUUGGACGGGUAGCCGGCCUGGAAGGGUCACCGGCCACAUUAGGACGGAGAUGAGGCACAGACUCCUACGGGAGGCAGAGGAGGGGAAUAGUGCACUAUAGGCGGAAGCAUGAUGCAACAACGCCGCGUGCGGGAUGACGUGCAGCGGUUAGUAAUCCGCUUUCGCCUGUGACGAAACGUGAGUGACGGUAAUGGGUAAAGAAGCACCGGCUAACUACGUG
rnacentral:rRNA from 1 species